AAGGAAGACAGCAGCUGUGCUGCAAGAGGAAAGAGCCUGUGAUUGCCCUCAGGGACUCCAGGAGCUCCCGAGUGGCCAGGGAGGAGGGAGCCCGCACAUCUUACCUCUGUGCUCUGGCCCGGGACUGCUGACACCCCAGCCCUGAUAGAGUGUAGCAAAGUCCUUUGGAAUGUAUGUCUUAAAGAUGUUGAGGAUGUCCAAGCGCUUCUCGUGGCCCUCAGCCACUGGCUCCUGCUUGAUGGAGUGUAAGACGGGGGGUGCUGCGUGCCAUCCCAGGCUGGGCCUGCAAGGCUGACCCUGAGGCUGAGGGCUGAAUUUGGCUUUCAGGGAGUCCGGGGCACUGUGCUUAUUUGGAGGGGCAAAGCCAGCCCCUGCCAACGGGACCCCACAAAAUUCUCCACCGGCUUGCUGCUGCCCAAGGGCUGGGCACCCACCCGAGUUAUAACAGAGGGUGUGGGGGUGGCACUCCUGCCAAGGCUUCCGCUGCCCAGGGCAGGUGCUGGCUUGGAGCUGGCCUCCAGCUUGGGUUUGGCUGGGGGCCCCUGCACUGAAGCACUGGAGGGUUCCUGACCUUGGCUGGGUUUGGUCUGUCGAUAGCCAUCGGGGCCAGGUGCCCACAGUGCACAGGGGCUAGAGGAAUGGCUCUCCUUAUUCUUAGGCAUGCUAGCCGCUGGGUCACUCCCAGGGGAGAAGAGAUGCCUUUGGGUCCAGGUGCCCCACCUGGCCCUUGAGUGCUUGGGUGAAGCGAGCAAGGAGUAGGGGCUGGCACUCUUUGCCCCCAAGGACAGGUGGAGGCCCUGUUCGUCCACUCCGGGCAAGAUAAACCAAGUUGCUUCUUAUGCUCUUGUAGCCAUUGGGCUGAAUCCACUGGGGGGCCAUGGAGUUGCAGCUGACCCUGUGCCAGAUGCGCUUGUGCAUCCAUAAGACCUCUGGGUAGUAGGUCUUGUGGUUACAAUAAGGACAUGGGUGAAUGACCAGAGCAGCCUGCAGGGAGGUAGCCACUUCCUUAUUGCUGGAGUCAUCCCGGGUCGACCUUGCACUUAAAUCUAGAGGGACCAGGUCUGGGGCCGGUGCACUUUUCCUCCCCCAGAAUGCUCCUUAUUGUGCAAAUCGGACAGCUUGUCUUUAGGAUGACCAGCCUGGCUCUCCAAUGUGAGCUGUAGGUCAGCUCCUUCUGUACUCGAAGGAAGUCCACACCAUCACUAGAGCUGGGCACCUCCUGCGUGGGGUGAAAUGCUGGCAUCUUUAGGUCAAGAGAAAAUCUACGUUGUUCAGGACGCUUGGAAGUCUCUCUGCUACUGUUUUCAAGUACGGACACAGAAGUUGCAAUCCCCACCUUGGACUCGCUGGUGUCUUUUCUUGGAGGAUUAUUUCCAAGUUGGUGACUCUGGUCUCCGUUGGACAGCACAGUUGAUGCUACCUCUUCAGAAGAGCAGCAGCGCCUCGGCUGUCCCCCUGG
rnacentral:lncRNA from 1 species